AUACUGAGGGUGCAAGCGUUAAUCGGAAUUACUGGGCGUAAAGCGCACGUAGGCGGUUUAUUAAGUCAGAUGUGAAAGCCCUGGGCUUAACCUGGGAACUGCAUUUGAGACUGGUAGGCUAGAGUAUGGUAGAGGAUAGUGGAAUUCCGGGUGUAGCGGUGAAAUGCGUAGAUAUCCGGAGGAACAUCAGUGGCGAAGGCGGCUAUCUGGACCAAUUCUGACGCUGAGGUGCGAAAGCGUGGGGAGCAAACAGGAUUAGAAACCCUAGUAGUCC
rnacentral:rRNA from 1 species